AACAGGAUUAGAUACCCUGGUAGUCCACGCUGUAAACGAUGUCGACUUGGAGGUUGUGCCCUUGAGGCGUGGCUUCCGGAGCUAACGCGUUAAGUCGACCGCCUGGGGAGUACGGCCGCAAGGUUAAAACUCGAAUGAAUUGACGGGGGCCCGCACAAGCGGUGGAGCAUGUGGUUUAAUUCGAUGCAACGCGAAGAACCUUACCUACUCUUGACAUCCAGAGAAUUUGCUAGAGAUAGCUUAGUGCCUUCGGGAACUCUGAGACAGGUGCUGCAUGGCUGUCGUCAGCUCGUGUUGUGAAAUGUUGGGUUAAGUCCCGCAACGAGCGCAACCCUUAUCCUUUGUUGCCAGCACGUAAUGGUGGGAACUCAAAGGAGACUGCCGGUGAUAAACCGGAGGAAGGUGGGGAUGACGUCAAGUCAUCAUGGCCCUUACGAGUAGGGCUACACACGUGCUACAAUGGCAUAUACAAAGAGAAGCGAACUCGCGAGAGCAAGCGGACCUCAUAAAGUAUGUCGUAGUCCGGAUUGGAGUCUGCAACUCGACUCCAUGAAGUCGGAAUCGCUAGUAAUCGUAGAUCAGAAUGCUACGGUGAAUACGUUCCCGGGCCUUGUACACACCGCCCGUCACACCAUGGGAGUGGGUUGCAAAAGAAGUAGGUAGCUUAACCUUCGGGAGGGCGCUUACCACUUUGUGAUUCAUGACUGGGGUGAAGUCGUAACAAGGUAACC
rnacentral:rRNA from 1 species